rnacentral:rRNA from 1 species
GAUGAACGCUGGCGGCGUGCAUAACACAUUCAAGUCGAACGGUGACGAGGGCUUCGGUCCUCUGAUCAGUGGCGGACGGGUGAGUAACGCGUGAGUAACCUGCCUCAGAGUGGGGAAUAACGUCUGGAAACGGACGCUAAUACCGCAUAACACACAGACUUCGCAUGGAGACUGUGUCAAAGAUUUAUUGCUCUGAGAUGGACUCGCGUCCGAUUAGGUAGUUGGUGAGGUAACGGCCCACCAAGCCGACGAUCGGUAGCCGGACUGAGAGGUUGAACGGCCACAUUGGAACUGAGAUACGGUCCAGACUCCUACGGGAGGCAGCAGUGGGGAAUAUUGGGCAAUGGGCGAAAGCCUGACCCAGCGACGCCGCGUGAGGGAAGAAGGUCUUCGGAUUGUAAACCUUUGUUGAUGGGGACGAAGAAAGUGACGGUACCCAUCGAGGAAGCCACGGCUAACUACGUG